CGCCGCCGCCGCCGCCGCUCUCCGUCCGACGCCGCUGCUCUCCGUCGACGUGAUACUCUACGCCCCCUGCCCUCGCCGGACCGCCCCUGCCCUCGCCGGAAAGCUCCUGCCGUUGCCGGAAUAAGAGAUUGUAGGAAAUAUAAACAUGAGUUUAGAUAGAGGGUGGAUGUAUAGGCGAUAUGCUCAAGGUAGUCUAACAGGAGAGUUCAUGGAUGGAUUGGAAGUAUUUAUCCAUUAUGCACUUUCUCGACCGGACUUAAUGAUUGGAAAUAAGAUCAAAUGCCCAUGCACGAAAUGUAAGAACAAAAAAUUUGAUACUCCAAUGACUGUUAGGGUUCACUUGGCAAAGAAUGGUUUUAU